AGAGAAAAGGCGAAGGUAAAUCAGUCGAGUGAGGAUCCCCGACAUGGUAGCAGCUGCAGUGGCCUAUCUGUCACCAACUGCAUUCCUCAACUGCCAUGAUGGUAAACUAUGGCGUCGUGCUGCUGCUGUGUGUUGUAUCGUUGAUGGCUGGGUCGACCACUGGUGUACCGAUGUCUUCUUGGUAGGGCGGGUACCAAACCGCAACACCGCCGCCUUACUACCCAAAAGCAACUUACGCAACGACCAGUUCCUGCACCGAGGUCUACAAGUACUACACUACUAAGGCACCGGAGUUUUAUACCAUAACUUACGCUGACCCGAGCCACUAUACUGACGCCCUGAAAUAUUACUCUGCCCUGAGUUACUACACCACCAAGGCGACGGAGCAGGACUACGCAUGCUGCCCCAUCCUACUACACCGAGGCUCCCAGGUGCUACACCGAUGCUCCCGCUGAUUAGUCCACCCAAACGGUCGAAUACUACACCGAAGCGGCGAAAUACUUCUCUGCCCCGAUCUACACAACCACAGCUGAGGUGGCUAAAUAUUACGCAGUCCCGACUUGCUACAUAAAAGCUGCCCUUUCGUGCUACGUUGAACAGAAAUACUACACUGAUGCUCCAGUCUACUACACCACGACCUACGCUACAACCCCGACCCCCCAACUACACCGAAGAAGCCGCCUAUUACACAACUACGUACGCUGCCUAGUUUACUGCAUCGAGGAAUUUAAGUAUUACCCCGGUCCAAACUACUACCAAACUGAGGUUCAUAUUUAUUGCAAUUUUCACGACUAUGUCACCACUCAACUAUACUUACGCUGCUCCCACCUAAUAUACACUGAAGUUCUGAAGUAUUUCUCUGGAUGUGUUGAAAGAUUGCUGAAAUACAAAAUUGAUUGAUAAAUCACAA
rnacentral:misc_RNA from 1 species